rnacentral:rRNA from 1 species
UACAGAGGUCUCAAGCGUUGUUCGGAUUCAUUGGGCGUAAAGGGUGCGUAGGCGGCCAAGCAGGUCCGCUGUGAAAACUCGAGGCUCAACCUCGAGACGUCGGUGGAAACCGUUUGGCUAGAGUCCGGAAGAGGAGAGUGGAAUUCCCGGUGUAGCGGUGAAAUGCGCAGAUAUCGGGAAGAACACCCGUGGCGAAGGCGGCUCUCUGGGACGGUACUGACGCUGAGACGCGAAAGCGUGGGGAGCGAACAGG